rnacentral:rRNA from 1 species
UACGGGGGGGGCAAGCGUUGUUCGGAAUUACUGGGCGUAAAGGGCCAGUAGGCGGCCAACUAAGUCGGAUGUGAAAUCCCCAGGCUUAACCUGGGAACUGCAUCCGAUACUGGAUGGCUUGAAUUCGGGAGAGGGAUGCAGAAUUCCAGGUGUAGCGGUGAGAUGCGUAGAUAUCUGGAGGAAUACCGGUGGCGAAGGCGGCAUCCUGGACCGACAUUGACGCUGAACGGCGAAAGCUAGGGGAGCAAACGGG